rnacentral:rRNA from 1 species
AAUUUGAAAUCUGCGUAAGCCGAGUUGUAAUUUGAAGAUGGCUACUUUGGUAAUGGCUCUUGUCUAUGUUCCUUGGAACAGGACGUCACAGAGGGUGAGAAUCCCGUGCGAUGAGAUGUCCAUUCCGUGUAAAGUGCUUUCGAAGAGUCGAGUUGUUUGGGAAUCAGCUCUAAGUGGGUGGUAAAUUCCACUAAAGCUAAAUAUUGGCGAGAGACCGAUACGAACAAGUACAGUGAUGGCAAGAUGAAAAGAACUUUGAAAGAGAGUGACAAAGUACGUGAAAUUGUUGAACGGGAGGGCUUGAGAUCAGACUUGGUAUUUUGUAUGGCUUGCUUUCGGCGGGUCCUCUGCAGUUUACUGGGCCAGCAUCGGUUUGGGUGGCAGGAUAAUAGCAUAGGAAUGUGGCUCUACUUCGGUGGAGUGUUAUAGCCUUUGUUGAUACUGCCUGCCUAGACCGAGGACUGCGUCUUUUGACUAGGAUGCUGGCAUAAUGACCUAACC